rnacentral:rRNA from 1 species
UAGGCGGACGGGGGAGUAAUGUCUGGGAAACUGCCUGAUGGAGGGGGAUAACUACUGGAAACGGUAGCUAAUACCGCAUAACGUCGCAAGACCAAAGAGGGGGACCUUCGGGCCUCUUGCCAUCGGAUGUGCCCAGAUGGGAUUAGCUAGUAGGUGGGGUAACGGCUCACCUAGGCGACGAUCCCUAGCUGGUCUGAGAGGAUGACCAGCCACACUGGAACUGAGACACGGUCCAG